CUGUAGCUACAAAACUAUAUAAUAAUGACACCAGUUCUUUCUACAGGACAUAGCAAUAAUAAUAAUAAUGAUAAUAAUAAUAAUAAUAAAUACAAUAAUUAUACAAUGGUCUAGUACUUCUUCUCAUCAACAGACAGACUAAGUACGAUAUAUAUACAAAAAUAGACUGUAUUAAGCACUGAACCAUGAACACACACACACACACACACACACAUGACUUGCGGUAACAGUCUCAAAUUUGGUCUCAUUUCGGAAGCACAAAGUCUUGGUCAGAGAGGUCAAUGGCAGGAGAGACCAGCUGAUACACACACACACACACACACACACACACACUAAAGCUGGGAAUGGCUAGGGAACAGAAUAGGGAGGUUACACACACACACACACACACACACACACACACACACACACACACACACACACACACACACACACACAUUUAAAAAUCAUAUAUGCAAAUCUAACAGAAGGAACAAUAGCCAUUAUCUUGUAUAUGCACUCCCAAAUCAAUAAUGUAGUAAGACUUUUUGUGACCCAGUGGAGUGAAUUUGUAUGCAUUUUGUGACCCAGGGGAUUGUCAAAGAAUGAAUGUGCUUGCUUUGCUGAUUAGAACCCAAAUGAAUGUAUGAAUAUAGUUUUGUAAAUAAGUCAGUCAGUUUAUACUACUUAUAGGUUGUCCAGUAUAGUGAAUUUGCGUGUUUUGUGACCCAGGGGAUUGUCAAAGAAUGAAUGUGCUUGCCUGGCUGAAUAGAACCCAAAUGAAUGCAUGAAUGAGUUUUGUAUAGUGAAUAAGUAAGUUUUUUAGGAAGUUUGACAUGCAUAUUUUACUAACUUGCAAUCUCUUCUUUUCAUUCAACAUCCCAGUGCAUUAACAAAGAGUGUAUGUGCUUGCCUGGCUGAUAGAACCCAAAUGAAUGGAUCAAUAUAUUUUUGUAUAGUGAAUAAGUAAGUCAAUUUACGGGUUAGCUAACAUGCGUCUGUCAUUAACUCACAAUCUUCUUUUCAUUUAACAUCCCAGAGCAUUGCCAAAGAGUGUAUGUAUUUCCCUGACUAAUGUGUGACCUAAAUGAAUGCAUGAAUGUAGUUUUGUAAAGAGAAUAAAUCAAUCAAUCAAUUUAUACUAGGUAGUUUGACAUUCUUAUUUCAUCAACCCACAAUCUUCUUCAUCUUCUUGUUUAAUGUCCUUAUUUUCCUAUGAUAUCAAAUGGUUCCUCCUGCCAUGCCUCCUCUCUGUUAAGUAUAUGGAUUAGCAGGAACAACAGUAUCUCUCUCAACACACAGACUGAAAGAAAGAAAGAAAGAAAGAAGGAAAAAAAAGGAAAGAUGAGAAAGAAAGAAAAAGAAAGAAUGAAGGAAAGAAAGAAAGAAACCAAAAAACAAACAAACAAAGACAGAAAAGGAAAGAAAGGAGGAAAGAAAAGAAGAAAGAGAAGGAAAGAAAAGAAAGAAAGAAGGAAAAAAGGUGAGAAAGAAAGAAAGAAAUAAUGGAGGAAAGAAAAAAUGAAGGAAAUCAAUAAAUAAACCAAAAAACAAACAAACAAAGACAGAAAAGGAAAGACAAGAAGAAAGAGAAGGAAAGAGAAAAAAAAGGAAAGGAAAGAAAAAAGAAAAGAAAUUAAGAAGGAACAGAGGAACAGGUAUACAGACAAACAGCUUAAUGGUACAGUCCUAUCAGUUAAGUGUUUUGGUGUUUUCAAGUGUUGCUAAAUGACAAACACCUGAUAUAUCACAUUUCUGGCCUCGAAGGGGACCCAAACUUACACACAGAGGGGAGAACUUAAGAUUACACACUAUCUCAUUUUUUCUUCUUUAUCUGGAAUGCAUUUUAGGACAGCAUAAUAGUGUUUGUUUCCUCUUUUCUGAGUUUUUAUCACAAUGGGAACAGGGAACGUCCAACAAGAUGCGUCGCUCCCUCGCCUAAACGCAAUCAAGAUAUGUACAUGGCUGACAGCGUUUGUGUAGCAGGACUCAAGAUCAAGGUGCCACAAGUCCUCUUACGCACUUAAACACGGUAGAAUAGAAGGAGGGAAGGCAUCGUUUGUGUAGCAGGACUCAAGAUCAAGGUUCCUCAAGUUCUCUUACGCACUUAUACACAGUAGAACAGAAGGUGGGAAGGCAUCGCUUGUGUGGCAGGACUCAAGAUCAAGGUUUCGUCAAGUCCUCUUACGCACUUAAACACAGAAUAUAAGAGGUGGGAAGGCAUCGUUU